rnacentral:rRNA from 1 species
AACGCGAAGAACCUUACCUAGGCUUGAAAAGCUUAUGACCGGUUGUGAAAGCAACCUUCCAGCAAUGGCAUAAGUACAGGUGCUGCAUGGCUGUCGUCAGCUCGUGCCGUGAGGUGUUGGGUUAAGUCCCGCAACGAGCGCAACCCUUACCAUUAGUUGCCACCGGAGCAAUCCGAGCACUCUAAUGGAACUGCCUACGCAAGUAGUGAGGAAGGUGAGGAUGACGUCAAGUCCGCAUGGCCCUUACGCCUAGGGCUACACACGUGCUACAAUGGCCGCCACAACGGGUAGCAAAAUCGCGAGAUGGAGCCAAUCCCUAAAAAGCGGCCUCAGUUCGGAUUGGAGUCUGCAACUCGACUCCAUGAAGUUGGAAUUGCUAGUAAUCGCGCAUCAGCAUGACACGGUGAAUACUUUCCCGGGUCUUGUACACACCG